AACGUAGGGGGCGAGCGUUGUCCGGAAUUACUGGGCGUAAAGGGCGCGUAGGCGGCUAUUUAAGUCAGAGGUGAAAACUGCCGGCUCAACCGGCAGCGUGCCUUUGAAACUGAGUAGCUUGAGGGCAGGAGAGGGGAGUGGAAUUCCCAGUGUAGCGGUGAAAUGCGUAGAUAUUGGGAGGAACACCAGUGGCGAAGGCGGCUCUCUGGCCUGUUGCUGACGCUGAGGCGCGAAAGCGUGGGGAGCGAAC
rnacentral:rRNA from 1 species